rnacentral:rRNA from 1 species
UACGUAGGUCCCGAGCGUUAUCCGGAAUUAUUGGGCGUAAAGAGCAUGUAGGCGGUUUGUUAAGUUUGGUGUGAAAGCUAGUGGCUCAACCACUAAAUUGCAUUGAAAACUGACAAACUAGAAUACUGGAGGGGCAAGUGGAAUUCCAUGUGUAGCGGUGGAAUGCGUAGAUAUAUGGAGGAACACCAAUGGCGAAGGCAGCUUGCUGGACAGAGAUUGACGCUGAGAUGCGAAAGUGUGGGUAGCAAACAGG